ACUGCUAUCGGAUUGAUACUAAGCCAUGCGAGUCUUUGUAGCAAUACAAGGCAGACGGCUCAGUAACACGUAGUCAAUCUACCCUAUGGACGGGGAUAACCUCGGGAAACUGAGAAUAAUACCCGAUAGAUCAUUAUGCCUGGAAUGGUUUAUGGUCGAAGUGAUUUAUCGCCGUAGGAUGGGACUGCGGUCUAUCAGCUUGUUGGUGAGGUAAUGGCCCACCAAGGCUAUAACAGAUACGGGCUCUGAGAGGAGAAGCCCGGAGAUGGGUACUGAGACACGGACCCAGGCCCUAUGGGGCGCAGCAGGCGAGAAAACUUUGCAAUGUGCGAAAGCACGACAAGGUUAAUCCGAGUGUUUUCUGCUAAAGAAAUCUUUUGUCAGUCCUAAAAACACUGAUGAAUAAGGGGUGGGCAAGUUCUGGUGUCAGCCGCCGCGGUAAAACCAGCACCUCAAGUGGUCAGGAGGAUUAUUGGGCCUAAAGCAUCCGUAGCCGGCCGUGUAAGUUUUCGGUUAAAUCUAUACGCUCAACGUAUAGGCUGCCGGGAAUACUGCACAGCUAGGGAGUGGGAGAGGUAGACGGUACUCGGUAGGAAGGGGUAAAAUCCUUUGAUCUAUUGAUGACCACCUGUGGCGAAGGCGGUCUACUAGAACACGUCCGACGGUGAGGGAUGAAAGCUGGGGGAGCAAACCGGAUUAGAUACCCGGGUAGUCCCAGCUGUAAACAAUGCAAACUCAGUGAUGCACUGGCUUGUGGCCAGUGCAGUGCCGCAGGGAAGCCGUUAAGUUUGCCGCCUGGGAAGUACGUACGCAAGUAUGAAACUUAAAGGAAUUGGCGGGGGAGCACCACAAGGGGUGAAG
rnacentral:rRNA from 1 species